rnacentral:rRNA from 1 species
CAGCCGCCGCGGUAAUACGAGGGGGGCAAGCGUUGUUCGGAAUUAUUGGGCGUAAAGGGUGCGUAGGCGGCUCGACAAGUCUUGUGUGAAAUCUAUGGGCUCAACCCAUAGUCUGCACGGGAAACUGUCGGGCUUGAGAAUGGGAGAGGUGAGUGGAAUUUCCGGUGUAGCGGUGAAAUGCGUAGAUAUCGGAAGGAACACCUGUGGCGAAAGCGGCUCACUGGACCAUUUCUGACGCUGAUGCACGAAAGCUAGGGGAGCAAACAGGAUUAGAUACCCCCGUAGUCCCUGUCUCUUAUAA